rnacentral:snRNA from 1 species
AUCUUUGCGCUUGGGGCAAUGAUGCAGGUAGUGAGGUAAAAACCGAGGCGCGUCAAUUCCUGGUUGAAAACUAUUUCCAAACCCCCUCCUCGGCCGUCCAGAAUUUCUGAAAGGGCUCCCUCUAACAUAGGUUAAAGCC